rnacentral:rRNA from 1 species
GACGAACGCUUUUGGCGUGCUUAACACAUGCAAGUCGAACGGAAAGGCCCUGCUUUUGUGGGGUGCUCGAGUGGCGAACGGGUGAGUAACACGUGAGUAACCUGCCCUUGACUUUGGGAUAACUUCAGGAAACUGGGGCUAAUACCGGAUAGGAGCUCCUGCUGCAUGGUGGGGGUUGGAAAGUUUCGGCGGUUGGGGAUGGACUCGCGGCUUAUCAGCUUGUUGGUGGGGUAGUGGCUUACCAAGGCUUUGACGGGUAGCCGGCCUGAGAGGGUGACCGGCCACAUUGGGACUGAGAUACGGCCCAGACUCCUACGGGAGGCAGCAGUGGGGAAUAUUGCACAAUGGGCGGAAGCCUGAUGCAGCAACGCCGCGUGCGGGAUGACGGCCUUCGGGUUGUAAACCGCUUUCGCCUGUGACGAAGCGUGAGUGACGGUAAUGGGUAAAGAAGCACCGGCUAACUACGUGCCAGCAGCCGCGGUGAUACGUAGGGUGCGAGCGUUGUCCGGAUUUAUUGGGCGUAAAGGGCUCGUAGGUGGUUGAUCGCGUCGGAAGUGUAAUCUUGGGGCUUAACCCUGAGCGUGCUUUCGAUACGGGUUGACUUGAGGAAGGUAGGGGAGAAUGGAAUUCCUGGUGGAGCGGUGGAAUGCGCAGAUAUCAGGAGGAACACCAGUGGCGAAGGCGGUUCUCUGGGCCUUUCCUGACGCUGAGGAGCGAAAGCGUGGGGAGCGAACAGGCUUAGAUACCCUGGUAGUCCACGCUGUAAACGGUGGGUACUAGGUGUGGGGUCCAUUCCACGGGUUCCGUGCCGUAGCUAACGCUUUAAGUACCCCGCCUGGGGAGUACGGCCGCAAGGCUAAAACUCAAAGGAAUUGACGGGGCCCCGCACAAGCGGCGGAGCAUGCGGAUUAAUUCGAUGCAACGCGUAGAACCUUACCUGGGUUUGACAUGGAUCGGGAGUGCUCAGAGAUGGGUGUGCCUCUUUUGGGGUCGGUUCACAGGUGGUGCAUGGCUGUCGUCAGCUCGUGUCGUGAGAUGUUGGGUUAAGUCCCGCAACGAGCGCAACCCUUGUUCACUGUUGCCAGCACGUUAUGGUGGGGACUCAGUGGAGACCGCCGGGGUCAACUCGGAGGAAGGUGGGGAUGACGCCAAGUCAUCAUGCCCCUUAUGUCCAGGGCUUCACGCAUGCUACAAUGGCUGGUACAGAGAGUGGCGAGCCUGUGAGGGUGAGCGAAUCUCGGAAAGCCGGUCUCAGUUCGGAUUGGGGUCUGCAACUCGACCUCAUGAAGUCGGAGUCGCUAGUAAUCGCAGAUCAGCAACGCUGCGGUGAAUACGUUCCCGGGGCU